rnacentral:rRNA from 1 species
UCGGGAAUAUUGGGCAAUGGAGGGAACUCUGACCCAGCCAUGCCGCGUGCAGGAUGAAGGCGUUAUGCGUUGUAAACUGCUUUUUAUAUAGGAAGAAAUAGUCCUUGCGAGGAAAGUUGACGGUACUAUAUGAAUAAGCACCGGCUAACUCCGUGCCAGCAGCCGCGGUAAUACGGAGGGUGCAAGCGUUGUCCGGAUUUAUUGGGUUUAAAGGGUGCGUAGGCGGUUUAUUAAGUCAGUGGUGAAAGACGGUCGCUCAACGAUUGCAGUGCCAUUGAUACUGGUAGACUUGAGUAUGAUUGAGGUAGCUGGAAUGGAUAGUGUAGCGGUGAAAUGCAUAGAUAUUAUCCAGAACACCAAUUGCGUAGGCAAGUUACUAAGUCAUAACUGACGCUGAGGCACGAAAGUGUGGGUAUCAAACAGGAUUAGAUACCCCUGUAGUCCCUGAGCGGGCUGGCAAGGCGCAU